CUAAUCUUGCCAUGUGACUGUUCCUACAUGGGUCCCACCAUUGUGAUGCCAUCUCCCAUUGUGAUGACACAGCCAAUGUCCCUCACCAGAGCCAAGCAGAUGUUGGUGCCAUGCUCUUAAACUUCUAAAAAUGUCAGCUGGCCUUGAUGCUCCAAUGGUCGAGACAUUCCCAAGUGAGUCUGUGCCUCAGGUUUCACUCUGCAGGUGUAUUUGUGCAGUCACAGGAGGAAGGGAGGCGCAUCCUCCACUGCUGCUUGUCACCAGCAUGGUGGUCUCCAAGAGGACGAGGACUUGUCCAUCCCCAAUGACCUGAAUGGUGCUUGGCACAUAGUGUGUGCUCAACAAACAUUGGCUCAAUGAUUGGCUUGGAUGAUUGAAUAGUUGUCAGUUCCCUACUCAAUGAUUUUCAGUCUUUAAACCCCCUCUCUGCCUUCCCUGUUCUAUAACACUUAUUGGGUCCCUACUGUGUGCCAAGAACAGGCUAGAGGAAAUGUACUUUCUUUUGGGGUGAUGAAACGUUUUGAAACUAGAUAAAGAUGUGUUUGCCCAACAUUGCACAUAUACUAAAUGCCACUUAAUUGUCUUAUUUAGAAUGGCUAACUUUUUAUGUAAAUGCUAACUCAAUUAAAACAACCAAACCAAACCAAAUAGACCAGGGGUGGUGAACUUAUGACAUAUGUGCAGCAGUGGGCUGUUUGUAUUAUUGAAGCCUCUAAAAGGUUCACCAUCACUGAGCUAGACCAUUAUAUCUCCGCUUAAAACUUGUCAACUUCUCCCCAUGGCACAAAAAAUAAAAUCCAGG